GGUCGGCGGCGGCAGCUGUGGGUGGUGGGCGCGUGUGACGCGGCUUGGUACAGUCGUUUGCGAGUGCCGGGGACGACAGCGCGUGGUGGAAAGGACGCCGCCACUUGCCCGCACAGUCUGAAGGCCUCACCAACCGAGCACGAUGGCUCCUGUGGACGGCUUCUGGGGCCAGCCCACAUCAACACUCGACUGGUGUGAAGCCAACUACGUGGUCAGCAGCUACAUCGCCGAGUUCUGGAACACGGUCAGCAACCUGGCCAUGAUCCUGCCGCCGCUGUACGGCAUAUACGAGGUAUGCCGACAGAAGUUUGAGAUCCGGUUCGCCAUCUGCUUUGUUCUUCUCCUUG